UACGUAGGGGGCAAGCGUUAUCCGGAUUUAUUGGGUUUAAAGGGUGCGUAGGUUGUUUUUUAAGUCAGCGGUGAAAGUUUGUGGCUCAACCAUAAAAUUGCCGUUGAAACUGGAAGACUUGAGUGUGUUUGAGGUAGGCGGAAUAAGUUAAGUAGCGGUGAAAUGCAUAGAUAUAACUUAGAACACCGAUAGCGAAGGCAGCUUACCAGACUGAGUCUGACGCUGAUGCACGAGAGCAUGGGUAGCGAACAGG
rnacentral:rRNA from 1 species